rnacentral:lncRNA from 1 species
UUCUCUGUUGCCCAGGCUGGAGUGUAGUGGCACCAUCAUAGCUCUCUGCAGCCUCAAACUCCUGGGCUCAAGUGAUCCUCCCACCUCAGCCUCCUGAGUAGCUGGGUACAGGCAUAAGCACCAUGCCUGGCCCUUAUUUUUAUUUUUAAAGGAUGAAAAAAAAGGAAAGAAGGAAGGGAGGGAGGGGGUGGAGGAAGGAGAGGCAAAAGUUGUCCGCUGCAUUCUAUUAAUUCCAAGGCCCAGUUGUUCUUAACCUCCAAACCUGCUUCUUCACUUUUAAAGCCUAGGUGAUAGUACGUGUACCUGCCUAGAACAUGCUUUGAAAACUAGCAGACUGGAGAGAGAAUUUCACUGUCAGGUUCACUACUGGUAGGCGGGACACUACAUCAUUCCCCCACGGAAUCCCUAGGGGGCUCAGCAUCCUUUCUGUCU